rnacentral:lncRNA from 1 species
CCUCACGCUAAUUAUACUGGGACGUAAUUCAUGAAAAUAAGUAUUAUAAUCAUAAGAACUAGAAUUUUGCUUAAACAGUGUAAUUGCUUCCACAGGCUAACACUAUAGUCUAGAUUUCCAAACUUGGUUAUCACAAAGUUUACUUAUGGGCAAUUAUGUGACUUAUUGAAUGCUUUUAAUAAUGGCAAGAGUUUAGUAGAGACUUUGUAUUAGCUUCCUUUCACUAAGAACGUAAGUCUCAUUUUAAAUGAUACAGUUUAGUAGAGACUUUGUAUUAGCUUCCUUUUGCUAAAAACGUAAGUCUUAUGUUUCCUUGACCUUUAUUCUAAACAGUGAAUUUUAGUGAAGUUAAAAUCAAG